rnacentral:rRNA from 1 species
UACAGAGGGUGCGAGCGUUAAUCGGAAUUACUGGGCGUAAAGGGCGCGUAGGCGGCCUGACAAGUGGAAGGUGAAAUCCCUCGGCUUAACCGAGGAACUGCCCUCCAAACUGUUUGGCUUGAGACCGGGAGAGGUGAGUGGAAUUCCCAGUGUAGCGGUGAAAUGCGUAGAUAUUGGGAGGAACACCAGUGGCGAAGGCGGCUCACUGGACCGGUACUGACGCUGAGGCGCGAAAGCGUGGGGAGCAAACAGG